AAGUUGCAGGGUAUAGACCCGAAACCCGGUGAUCUAGCCAUGGGCAGGUUGAAGGUUGGGUAACACUAACUGGAGGACCGAACCGACUAAUGUUGAAAAAUUAGCGGAUGACUUGUGGCUGGGGGUGAAAGGCCAAUCAAACCGGGAGAUAGCUGGUUCUCCCCGAAAGCUAUUUAGGUAGCGCCUCGUGAAUUCAUCUCCGGGGGUAGAGCACUGUUUCGGCAAGGGGGUCAUCCCGACUUACCAACCCGAUGCAAACUGCGAAUACCGGAGAAUGUUAUCACGGGAGACACACGGCGGGUGCUAACGUCCGUCGUGAAGAGGGAAACAACCCAGACCGCCAGCUAAGGUCCCAAAGUCAUGGUUAAGUGGGAAACGAUGUGGGAAGGCCCAGACAGCCAGGAUGUUGGCUUAGAAGCAGCCAUCAUUUAAAGAAAGCGUAAUAGCUCACUGGUCGAGUCGGCCUGCGCGGAAGAUGUAACGGGGCUAAACCAUGCACCGAAGCUGCGGCAGCGACGCUUAUGCGUUGUUGGGUAGGGGAGCGUUCUGUAAGCCUGUGAAGGUGUGCUGUGAGGCAUGCUGGAGGUAUCAGAAGUGCGAAUGCUGACAUAAGUAACGAUAAAGCGGGUGAAAAGCCCGCUCGCCGGAAGACCAAGGGUUCCUGUCCAACGUUAAUCGGGGCAGGGUGAGUCGACCCCUAAGGCGAGGCCGAAAGGCGUAGUCGAUGGGAAACAGGUUAAUAUUCCUGUACUUGGUGUUACUGCGAAGGGGGGACGGAGAAGGCUAUGUUGGCCGGGCGACGGUUGUCCCGGUUUAAGCGUGUAGGCUGGUUUUCCAGGCAAAUCCGGAAAAUCAAGGCUGAGGCGUGAUGACGAGGCACUACGGUGCUGAAGCAACAAAUGCCCUGCUUCCAGGAAAAGCCUCUAAGCAUCAGGUAACAUCAAAUCGUACCCCAAACCGACACAGGUGGUCAGGUAGAGAAUACCAAGGCGCUUGAGAGAACUCGGGUGAAGGAACUAGGCAAAAUGGUGCCGUAACUUCGGGAGAAGGCACGCUGAUAUGUAGGUGAAGUCCCUUGCGGAUGGAGCUGAAAUCAGUCGAAGAUACCAGCUGGCUGCAACUGUUUAUUAAAAACACAGCACUGUGCAAACACGAAAGUGGACGUAUACGGUGUGACGCCUGCCCGGUGCCGGAAGGUUAAUUGAUGGGGUCAGCGCAAGCGAAGCUCUUGAUCGAAGCCCCGGUAAACGGCGGCCGUAACUAUAACGGUCCUAAGGUAGCGAAAUUCCUUGUCGGGUAAGUUCCGACCUGCACGAAUGGCGUAAUGAUGGCCAGGCUGUCUCCACCCGAGACUCAGUGAAAUUGAACUCGCUGUGAAGAUGCAGUGUACCCGCGGCAAGACGGAAAGACCCCGUGAACCUUUACUAUAGCUUGACACUGAACAUUGAGCCUUGAUGUGUAGGAUAGGUGGGAGGCUUUGAAGUGUGGACGCCAGUCUGCAUGGAGCCGACCUUGAAAUACCACCCUUUAAUGUUUGAUGUUCUAACGUUGACCCGUAAUCCGGGUUGCGGACAGUGUCUGGUGGGUAGUUUGACUGGGGCGGUCUCCUCCUAAAGAGUAACGGAGGAGCACGAAGGUUGGCUAAUCCUGGUCGGACAUCAGGAGGUUAGUGCAAUGGCAUAAGCCAGCUUGACUGCGAGCGUGACGGCGCGAGCAGGUGCGAAAGCAGGUCAUAGUGAUCCGGUGGUUCUGAAUGGAAGGGCCAUCGCUCAACGGAUAAAAGGUACUCCGGGGAUAACAGGCUGAUACCGCCCAAGAGUUCAUAUCGACGGCGGUGUUUGGCACCUCGAUGUCGGCUCAUCACAUCCUGGGGCUGAAGUAGGUCCCAAGGGUAUGGCUGUUCGCCAUUUAAAGUGGUACGCGAGCUGGGUUUAGAACGUCGUGAGACAGUUCGGUCCCUAUCUGCCGUGGGCGCUGGAGAACUGAGGGGGGCUGCUCCUAGUACGAGAGGACCGGAGUGGACGCAUCACUGGUGUUCGGGUUGUCAUGCCAAUGGCACUGCCCGGUAGCUAAAUGCGGAAGAGAUAAGUGCUGAAAGCAUCUAAGCACGAAACUUGCC
rnacentral:rRNA from 1 species